rnacentral:piRNA from 1 species
UGGAUCCAUUAUGGAAAAACUUGGAGACGC